GGGGGGGGGGGGGGGGGGGGCUCUGUCACGGUGCUCUCCUAACCCCUCUGGCAUAACAAGAAGAUUUGACAACUCAGACAGAGAACACUGAUUUUCACAUACCUCCACUCCCUACGAUUACGCCUUCAGGAUGCCAGGGAAAUUAAUGACAAGGGAUAAGGUGGUAUCACUGGGUCAGUUUAUCUGGUAAAUGAACUGUGGACUGCUUUUGCUUCCUGAGGACGCGCAGUCACUAACCCACUAACCAGUACGGAACUAGGUGGCCACUAUUCCAAGUCCCUGUGACCCAUGCUUCCUCCCAGGCUGCUUCACGAGCCUCUCCUUCAGCCCUCGCCAACCGUGGAAGGGCUGUGGAAGAGGAGUCACGGACCACCACCUCCAUGGAUGCUUUCUAGAGCGUUUGACCAACAUGGAGCAGCAUCACGAGAUGGCAAGAAGGAAUAGGACAUGGCUGCAGUAUUUAUGCCUCUGGUGCUCCUCAAAGAUUGCCUUGGGCUGCCUGCAUCUACUGGGGAGCUCUCUCCACAUUCAACAGUCCCUGACUCUUGGAACGUCAGAGGUACAAGACUCCAUCUAUGAGAACACAACUAUCAGUAGGUUUUUAAUCCUUCAUUAUUCACCAUAAAGAUAAACAAGAAUUGCCCGACAGAAAUGAAAAUUAUCUAUGGAAAUUAACAACAUGGAGGAAAUCAAGACUAUGCAGAGAGUGCCUUAGAAAGAUAUGAGGAUCUGAAUGUGGAUUGAAAUUCAACAACACACUGCUAUCAUGUUUCAAGACACCGUUCACAUCCAAGG